rnacentral:rRNA from 1 species
UACGGGGGGGGCAAGCGUUGUUCGGAAUUACUGGGCGUAAAGGGCUCGUAGGCGGCCAACUAAGUCAGACGUGAAAUCCCCAGGCUCAACCUGGGAACUGCGUCUGAUACUGGAUGGCUUGAAUCCGGGAGAGGGAUGCAGAAUUCCAGGUGUAGCGGUGAAAUGCGUAGAUAUCUGGAGGAACACCGGUGGCGAAGGCGCUCAUCUGGCCCAAUACUGACGCUGAGGCGCGAAAGCUAGGGGAGCAAACAGG